GUAUUCUUUUUAUUUGACAUAUAAUAAAAUAUAAAUAAAUACAUGUCUGCAUAAAUUGUAACUCAUUAAUAUACAUUUUUCCAGAUUCAAUUUACAAGAUUGGUGCGAGUUCAAUUAAAUCUCAACUUUAUUGCCGAGGUGAGUUUGAGGAGAUUAUUUUCAGUAUUAAAAAUAUUAUAAUUCUCUUUAACACGCACGUAAAAACACACAAGUUGUAACAAACCUGCGGCCGACUUGUAGCAAUGCUGUUCCAACAACUUGUCAACAGGAUGUGUUCGCACUGCUUGUUCCCAGCUUGUUGACAACUUGCUACAAGGUUGUUGAACUCAAGAGGCUUGUUACAAGUUGUUCCAACAACUUGUUAUCGUCCUGCAAUUCAACAAUUUGUCAACAAGUUGUGAGUGACAACCUUGUAGCAACUUGAUAAAAUAACAACAUUUUUACAACUUGUUGACAAGCUUGCUACAAGCCUGUUGGGAACACAUCUUGUUGACAAGUUGUGAGAUUUUUACGUGUGUUGAAGCGGUUUUAAACAACGUAUACAGAGCGUAUUCAGCUUUUAAGCAUCUGAAACAUACAAGUGAAGGUUUUCUUCAUGUUCAUUUACGACAGGGAGUUUCCAGUUUUGGCCGCUUUGUCGAUACCCUGUGUUCAAUGUCCUUCCAUUCACCUCUUCAUCACCUAAGAAUAUAAAAAAACAUAAGUUAAUGUUCUUCAAAACCUUGGCUA